GAUGAACGCUGGCGGCGUGCCUAAUACAUGCAAGUCGAACGCUUCACUUCGGUGAAGAGUGGCGAACGGGUGCGUAAUACAUAAGUAACCUGGCAUCUACAGGGGGAUAACUGAUGGAAACGUCAGCUAAGACCGCAUAGGUGUAGAGAUCGCAUGAACUCUAUAUGAAAAGUGCUACGGGACUGGUAGAUGAUGGACUUAUGGCGCAUUAGCUUGUUGGUAGGGUAACGGCCUACCAAGGCGACGAUGCGUAGCCGACCUGAGAGGGUGACCGGCCACACUGGGACUGAGACACGGCCCAGACUCCUACGGGAGGCAGCAGUAGGGAAUUUUCGGCAAUGGGGGAAACCCUGACCGAGCAACGCCGCGUGAAGGAAGAAGUAAUUCGUUAUGUAAACUUCUGUUAUAGAGGAAGAACGGUGGAUAUAGGGAAUGAUAUCAAAGUGACGGUACUCUAUAAGAAAGCCACGGCUAACUACGUG
rnacentral:rRNA from 1 species